GUGUCAGCAGCCGCGGUAAUACGUAGGGGGCGAGCGUUGUUCGGAAUUACUGGGCGUAAAGAGCGCGUAGGCGGUCAAAUAAGUCAGGUGUGAAAUCCCUCAGCUUAACUGAGGUUUGGCGCUUGAAACUAUUUGACUUGAGUUUAGGAGAGGAGAGUGGAAUUCCCAGUGUAGCGGUGAAAUGCGUAGAUAUUGGGAGGAACACCUGUGGCGAAGGCGGCUCUCUGGACUAAUACUGACGCUGAGGCGCGAAAGCUAGGGGAGCAAACGGGAUUAGAUACCCCGGUAGUCCUAGCCGUAAACGAUGGGCACUAGGUGUGGGAGGUAUCGACCCCUUCCGUGCCGCAGCUAACGCAUUAAGUGCCCCGCCUGGGGAGUAUGGCCGCAAGGCUGAA
rnacentral:rRNA from 1 species